GGAUGUGAGGGCGAUCUGGCUGCGACAUCUGUCACCCCAUUGAUCGCCAGGGUUGAUUCAGCUGAUCUGGCUGCCUAGGCGGGUGUCCCCUUCCUUCCUCACUGCUCCAUGUGCAUCGUUCCCGAAGCUGCGUUCUCAGUCGAAGAGGAUGGCCUUUCCUGAACAGAGACGGACUGGUCUUCAGUCGAGGGUAUACGAGUAGCUGCGCUCCCCUGCUAGAACCUCCAAACAAGCUCUCAAGGUAAGUACCAGUUAUACCUCUGAGGCCAGCAAUCAUCUAGGAUGUCCCAGGAAGAUCCAACAAAUGUACUUGAGGAAACUGGCUGAGCAGCUCCAAGAAAGAAUUGUGAUGAAUACA
ensembl:misc_RNA 7SK 7SK RNA